rnacentral:rRNA from 1 species
UACACGCUGUGACUAGCAUAUCAAUAAGCGGAGGAAAAGAAACUAACAAGGAUUCCCCUAGUAACGGCGAGUGAAGCGGGAAGAGCUCAAAUUUGAAAUCUUAAAGGGUUUCCCUUUACGAAUUGUAGUUUAAAGAAGUGUUUUCUGUUGAGGUUUUGGUAAAAGUUCUUUGGAAUAGGACAUCAUAGAGGGUGAGAAUCCCGUAUUUGACCUUUACUUUCAACUUUGUGAUACACUUUCAAAGAGUCGGAUUGUUUGGGAAUGCAGUCCAAAAUGGGUGGUAAAUUUCAUCUAAAGCUAAAUAUUGGCGAGAGACCGAUAGCGAACAAGUACCGUGAGGGAAAGAUGAAAAGAACUUUGAAAAGAGAGUUAAACAGUACGUGAAAUUGUCAAAAGGGAAGCGUUUGACACCAGUGUUGUUUUUCUGAAAAUCAAUUAAAGAACUGUUUAUGCUAAGUUGUUUAGACUUUAUCAGCUAACUGUUUAGUUUUGAGCUUUUCUUUAAUGCACUUUUCAGUUAACAAGUCAACAUCAAUUUCUUUUGCUGUAAAAAAGCUUGAGGGAAGGUGGCUUGAGAUUCGUCUUAAGUGUUUAUAGGCCUCUUGCCUAUGCAGUCGGAGAGAUUGAGGUCUGCAGCGUAGAUCCUUCGGGGCUAAAUGCAUUUGUGCUAAGUUAUAGCAUUUUAUAGACAACUUGUUGACUAUGAUUUGUCUUGUAGCUUACUCGCUUAUGUUAUUUUACCUACGCUUAGGAUGUUGAGUCGUAGAGCACGCAG